rnacentral:rRNA from 1 species
AUUGAACGCUGGCGGCAGGCCUAACACAUGCAAGUCGAGCGGAUGAAGGGAGCUUGCUCCUGGAUUCAGCGUCGGACGGGUGAGUAAUGCCUAGGAAUCUGCCUGGUAGUGGGGGAUAACGUCCGGAAACGGGCGCUAAUACCGCAUACGUCCUGAGGGAGCAAGUGGGGGAUCUUCGGACCUCACGCUAUCAGAUGAGCCUAGGUCGGAUUAGCUAGUUUGUUGGGUAAGGGCCUACCAAGGCGACGAUUCGUAACUGGUCUGAUAGGGUGAUCAGUCACACUGGAACUGAGACACGGUCCAUACUACUACGGUAGGCAGCAGUGGGGAAUAUUGGACAAUGGGCGAAAGCAUGAUACAGCCAUGCCGCGCGUGUGAAGAAGGUCUUCGGAGUGGAAAGCACUUUAAGUGGGGAGGAAGGGCAGUAAGUUAAUACCUUGCUGUUUUGACGUUACCAACAGAAUAAGCACCGGCUAACUUCGUG